ACUCAGCUGACAAGUCCAAAAUAGGACGAAACUCACAUUCUGAAU
rnacentral:hammerhead_ribozyme from 1 species